rnacentral:rRNA from 1 species
GGGUCAGUAGGUUGGUCGUGCCACCGGUACGUACUGGCCUCACUGAUUCCUCCUUCCUGAAGAACCGUAAUGCCAUUAAUUUGGUGUUGCGGGGAAACAGGACUGUUACUUUGAAAAAAUUAGAGUGUUUAAAGCAAGCUAACGCUUGAAUACAUUAGCAUGGAAUAAUGAAAUAGGACGAUCGACCCUAUUUUGUUGGUUUCUAGGAUUGACGUA